rnacentral:lncRNA from 1 species
AAAUUUAAAAAUAAUCAAUCGGAGAUGGAUCGAGAUGGUAUAGUUAUCCUCAUCCUCGAACCCAGGCGAUAAAUGAUGCAUUUAUUUUUAAUUAAUAAAUAUAUAACGUAAUAUAAUUUAACAAUUAAAAAGUUUUAAUGUAUAAAUAACUAAUUAAAUAAUAUUAAGUUAAGUUAGAUUAGACUAUUAUAGCAUUUCCAGCAACUAAGGCUAGACUCGGGCUGGGGGGGUUUGGGCCAAAAAGUGGUUUCCAGCAACAAAAGCAAGCUCGGGCAAAUAGUGAGACCCAGUAGACUGGGCUGGCCCGAGGGCAAGGCUGACGUCAGCAUGCUAACGUCACGUUGACGUCAGCAUGCUAACGUCACGUUGACGUCAGCCCUGUGUCCAAAUUUUUUUAAAUCAUCCACGUGGGGCGCGCUGGGCUCUCCGAUCAUAUUUUUUCUAGCAAUCCAACCGUAG